rnacentral:rRNA from 1 species
UACGUAGGGUGCGAGCGUUGUCCGGAAUUAUUGGGCGUAAAGAGCUCGUAGGCGGUGUGUCACGUCGGCCGUGAAAACCUGCAGCUUAACUGUGGGCGUGCGGUCGAUACGGGCAUCACUGGAGUUCGGCAGGGGAGACUGGAAUUCCUGGUGUAGCGGUGAAAUGCGCAGAUAUCGGGAGGAACACCGGUGGCGAAGGCGGUUCUCUGGGCCUGUACUGACGCUGAGGAGCGAAAGCGUGGGGAGCGAACAGG